rnacentral:rRNA from 1 species
CGCAGAUACCAGGUGGCUGCAACUGUUUAUUAAAAACACAGCACUGUGCAAAAUCGUAAGAUGACGUAUACGGUGUGACGCCUGCCCGGUGCCGGAAGGUUAAUUGAUGGGGUUAGACUUCGGUCGAAGCUCUUGAUCGAAGCCCCGGUAAACGGCGGCCGUAACUAUAACGGUCCUAAGGUAGCGAAAUUCCUUGUCGGGUAAGUUCCGACCUGCACGAAUGGCGUAAUGAUGGCCACGCUGUCUCCACCCGAGACUCAGUGAAAUUGAAAUCGCUGUGAAGAUGCAGUGUACCCGCGGCUAGACGGAAAGACCCCGUGAACCUUUACUACAGCUUGGCACUGAACAUUGACCCUACAUGUGUAGGAUAGGUGGGAGGCUUUGAAGCACGUACGCCAGUAUGUGUGGAGCCGUCCUUGAAAUACCACCCUUGUAGUGUUGAUGUUCUAACGUCGACCCCUAAUCGGGGUUGCGGACAGUGCCUGGUGGGUAGUUUGACUGGGGCGGUCUCCUCCCAAAGAGUAACGGAGGAGCACGAAGGUGGGCUAAUCACGGUUGGACAUCGUGAGGUUAGUGCAAUGGCAUAAGCCCGCUUGACUGCGAGAAUGACAAUUCGAGCAGGUGCGAAAGCAGGUCAUAGUGAUCCGGUGGUUCUGAAUGGAAGGGCCAUCGCUCAACGGAUAAAAGGUACUCCGGGGAUAACAGGCUGAUACCGCCCAAGAGUUCAUAUCGACGGCGGUGUUUGGCACCUCGAUGUCGGCUCAUCACAUCCUGGGGCUGAAGUCGGUCCCAAGGGUAUGGCUGUUCGCCAUUUAAAGUGGUACGCGAGCUGGGUUUAGAACGUCGUGAGACAGUUCGGUCCCUAUCUGCCGUGGGCGUUGGAAGAUUGAAGGGGGCUGCUCCUAGUACGAGAGGACCGGAGUGGACGAACCUCUGGUGUUCGGGUUGUGUCGCCAGACGCAUUGCCCGGUAGCUAAGUUCGGAAUCGAUAACCGCUGAAAGCAUCUAAGCGGGAAGCGAGCCCUGAGAUGAGUCUUCCCUGAUACUUUAAGUAUCCUAAAGGGUUGUCGGAGACUACGACGUUGAUAGGUCAGGUGUGUAAGUGCUGUGAGGCAUUGAGCUAACUGAUACUAAUUGCCCGUGAGGCUUAACCAU